CUGACCUAGUAGAGAGUGACAAACCCACUCC
rnacentral:piRNA from 1 species